CGGAGAGGGAGCCUGCGCCACUCCUGUCCCCCGCGCUUGGGGUCCGCAGGCGAGGACUGUGGCAACCGGAGACCCGGGCUGCAGUCCACGUGGCGGCGCCUGGCUCCGCGCGCCCCGCCUCCCGCCUCCCGCCCGGCGCCGCCUCCGCCUCCGCCUCCGCCCGCCCGCUCCGCAGCCCAAGUUGGCUGGAGUUGGGGUCCUGAGCGCCUGCCCCCCGCAGCCCGCCAGCGGAAAACCCCGCGCCGGAAAACCCCGGCUGCUAUCGGCUCCCGCGAUGGGAAAAGUGGCCGCGGGGCGCGGCUACCCCCGCCCCACCCCCGGCUGAGCGAGCUCUUCGCGGGCGCGGGGCUCUGGGACCUGGACGCCCCGGGCGCCUGCGGUGGCCGCUCCUGCGGUGUCCCGUUGUCCCAGGGCCUCGCCCCAGGGCGCCCGCCCGUAAAACCGCGAGGCCCGGGUGCUGCCGCUCCUCCUACCCCCUCCCGGAGCUCCUCUGACGCAGAGCGGGAACCUGGAGCCCAGCAAGAGUGGAAGCCCCGGGGGCAUUUUGAGCCUUGGGACCCUGGAACUCCUCAGCAAGAGUAACAAAGCUGCAGGCUUCGGGGCUGGAGGAGCUGAGCUGACGAUCCGCACGUUGGAGGUGACAAGGAACUCCGCACACAAAGGCCGCGCCCCUUGGCUGACCACUACGGCGUCCUGCGCGGAGAAGUGGCGGCGGGGCGCGAUGGAAGAGAUAUCGCUGAGUACCUAUGAUGUUCCAGGCGCUGAUGAAGAGGUGUGUGUGACGUGGUAUGGAAAGUGAUGAACGUUCCUACGAGGCUAUAGAAGACACGGGUCAUCUGAAGGCAGAACUGCUAUAGAGAUACCAUGUCUCACUACUAAAGGACCUGAAAUCUACACCCAGUUGAGGGACACAAGGGAAACCAACAGCCACCUCAGUCCCCUUAUGAAGAUGCAGGAACUGGUCUGGCGAAAUGACAUCACUUGUUCAAGGCCAUGGAGAUGGCCAAUCUAUGAUAUGAAGGAAGAUGUAUCAGAAAAUUGAUCUAUACAGUUGAACAAAUACUGUUCCCUCAAAGGGUAAUUUGUUGCUAGAGCUAGAGGAAAGUUGAAAACAUGGCUUUAAAAAGAAAACAACAUUUGAGAUCAUGCACCUUCAGUGGUUACAGGGAAGUGUUCCAGGCCUGAACCAUGUGUCUUACGGCUUUUACGCACGAUGCAUCCAGUCUAUCAGAAGAGGGCUGAUGUCACCAGACAAGCUAACUUUUGAAAUAGUCAACGAACUGUGUGUGAACUGGACAAGGUGAAGAAACUGAAACUUAGGAACCAAGAUUGAAUUAAAAGCCCAAUGGCCUUACUCUCAAACAUCCUCCCAGGGAGCAGACCUU